ACAAAUGCACUACGAAUGUUUUAAUUUCAUACAUUUUCAUUAUAUAAACAAUUUAUUUCUUGUAAAAUUUGAGAUAUAUAUUAAAGCAACAUUGAAAUGAUUUUCAAACACCUCAAGUUUUUCCACCUCAAACGAUAAAAUAAUGAUAGAAAAAUAGAAAUAUCGGGUGUUAUUUUCCAGAGCUAAAUCCGUAACGUACCGGAAAACGGCGUUUAGCUAAGUUUUCAAAAAGGUCAAUAAACCAAUCAUGUACGGGGUUAACAGAUCACGUGCUCCUCCAUGUACCGAAAACAGGUCACGUGCUCCUCCAUGCCUCUAAAAUUAAUGGCACAGGCUCCAGUCCGCAAGGAAUGACAUUUAGCGCUAAAGCAAGACGCAAUCAAAUGCAGAAGUUCUAUAUUUCGAGGUAGGUUUUGUUUAGAACAGUCCCUAGAGCAUCAUAUAUUCUACUUAAACCGGGAAAUAUUACAGUCAUCAGGUCUUGUCGAGUAAUUCUAUAGAUAUUUAACUCUGUUAUUUCAUCCCAUAACUUCUUAAAAGAUAAAGAUUGAUUCUAAAAUUAUCACACACAAUUUAUUCAAACAUCAAAAAAGGCUCUCGUUGGAGUGUUUGCCUUUUUUUAUAUUUCGUGCAUACGAAUUGUAAUUGUUUCUUUUUUUGUACAAACUACUUCUAGAUAAUUUCUUGAUUUUGAAAAACUUAAAAACGAUGAUAGUGGAAACUGUCAAACUACGUAUACAAUUUAAUGCCAUUACUUAAUAGCUUUAUCUCUAAAUCAAUAAAAUUCAGGGCAGGAAAUUUGAAACUUCAAAAUCUGUCAAAUGUGGAAUUAUUAAUAAAGCUUUAUACUUGCUAUGUUAUAGUUACGGAGUCAUUCUGUUUGAAUGUUACGAUAUUUUGUGUGUUUAUUCGGCUAUGUAUCUCGAAGACGAAUCUGUAUGUCAGAGACUUUGACCUUCUCUGACAGACUAAAUCCGUCCGUCCACAAAUGAUCUUAAGAUUAAAUACAACCUUAUCAUAUUUUGAAUUUUAUUUUACAAAUCGCGUUCCAAUAGGCAUUUUAAGUGCACUUCAAAGCCUUUGGUGCACAUCUUAAUUAAACAGAAAAGAAAUGUUUCAUUUAUACCUGCAAUAUCAUAAUUAAAAGCCUAUUGCGCACCUUUCUCGCUAAAUAAAAACAUAUUUGAACUGUGAAAUACUGUCAUUUCUAUAGAUAAAGAAUAUUUAAAUGAUGUUGUACCACAACUUAAACAUAUUACAGUAUAUGCUUUAUAACAUUCUUAUGUAUUAAGGCAUCCAAGAAAAGUUUCUUUUUCUUAGAAGUAAGUCCUAACUUACACUGGACAUACAACACAGCUGCAGACAACAAUUCUUCAAACGAAUGCCAAUAACCACAUCAUGAAUAGAAAAUCGUAAUUUAUCUAGCAUGUCAUAAAUAGAAAUAUAUAUUUGUAUUGCAAUUCUGAUUACCAUUACAAAUGACUUGAUUUUUGUAUAUUCUCUCAAUAUGAUUGCUUGUAGUCAGCGUGCAUUUGCUCAUUUUGUAAGGUCAUCUGUGGACUAUAUUGAAGUAAAAGAGAUAUUAUAUUUCUAUCAUGUUUCGUUUAGGAGAGAUUAAUUCUGUCCGAACCAUUUACAUACACAAUCAUUUAGAUUUGCAAACAUGUGCAGAAAUAGAAUGUCAUGCUUAUGAAUAAUCGGUAUGCUAAAAACUAAAAUAAAAUAUCAAUGUCGACCUGAAGAGAUAAUUCGAAAGAUAUCGUUUGCAAAUUUGGUCUCAUUAAAUCACGCCAUCCUUUGUAAAAGUGUUUAAGAAUUGCAAAACAAAAUAUAAUUAGAUAAUUUGUUGCUAUGAAUAUUAUGAAAUACAAAAUCUGCUUGACAGUAUGAAAGAUGUCAAAAUAUUCAAAAUAAUAUAUUAAGUUUCAAACUACUUUAUUAAAUUUUGUGGCAUUAAAUACCCAACUGAAACACAUACUUAUAAGCAAUAAUGUACCAAAUAAUUUCUUAUUGACGUGUAUAACGCAUACUCAUUGGAUUAAUUUCAAAACCAUUCCAAACAAAAUUAAAACUGAACAAAAAGGAAAUAAGACCCACAAUAAACCAUUUUGUGACAUUGUAUGAAGCCAAGGUUCGCGUCAUUACUCGUGAAAUCUGUUUAAAACACAAUCUAUCAUGGCGCAUCUGUUUAUUCAGAUGAAAUUUCUUGCCAGAGAAAUUGAUAAAUAUACACAUUCCUUCACUGAAUACGAGCACGGCUAAGCUACCCGGAUAUCGGGGAUGUACGGCGGAUCAAAAGUUCAAUCCUGGAUAUACGGUGCUGUUGGCGCUUCUCCUCGUACAUUAUAAACACACAUUGUCAACUGACACGCUGAUCAAUAGCUGGAGGACAGUAGGUAAGAUUUAACAACAUUAAUUACCCAGCAAUUGACACGUUUAUGGAAAUACCACGAGCGAGAUUGUCUCGCUUUUUAUUGAACAUAUAUAAGCUGGGGUUAAGGCAAUGAUAAAACUCUCGUGUAUCCCUUGAGUUAAAUAAAAGCUGACACAUUGUAGUAGAUUUAUCGUUUAAUAAAAACAUCUAUAUGAACAAAAAUUAUGAGAAUAUUAAAAUGCAUAAAGCCAAUAUAAGGUUUAUUUUUUUUAUCUAAAGGAUUGUAUUUGAGGAAGCAUAUUUUCCCCUAUUCGAACACCAACUAUAAUCUUUUGGCUUCGUAUCUGUUGCAGAAAGUUGGUGGAUGUUGGUGCUGUAUGAUAAGUGAUAUUUUUAAAUACAAUUUACAUCGUUUUGGACUAUUACACACACCAUACGGUGAUACUUUAACCAAUAUAAUUAUACUGGAAUAACAAAGGUAUUAAUUUGUUGUGUAAAUGUAAUGAACAGAUCCCGAUGACAUAUCGGUAUAUUUAGCUAGUUUUUUUAAUCCUUGUUUAAUUAGAUUUUCUUCAGUAUCAACGUUACCUUUGGUAGCAGUAGGUUUGGGCUGACUAGGACGGGUCAUCUCAACCAUCUUUAAAUUUCCUGUGCUACCUUAAAAACACCAUUCAGAUACCAAAAAACAAGCACAUUAUCGGACACAAUUUCAAAUAUAUCUAGGAAACUAUAAUGUUUAAACUUACCAGAUCUUUUGUUUUAAAAUGUAAUUCUUUUUUCAUGAUACACACAAUAAAAAUAAAGCUAGUAUCAUGACUGAACCUCGUUAAUAUCUAAAUAGUUUGUUUAUAAAUGUUUGACCAUUGUCAACAUCAAUAUUUCCAAUGUCGUCUGCAUAAAAAUCUUUCCCAGAAGAAUAUUUCGAUAUCAGAAUGUUCAGCAUAUUUAGGGUAUCAUGUCACCGGAUAAAUCUCUUGUGACCUUACAAAGAGCACAUGUAAUAACAUCGUGCACAUAUAGUGCAUUUAAUGAUAUAUAGCUGUAUAGAUUGAUUUGCUAGACAUGUUUAUAUAUUAUGUUUCGUUUUAUCUUACGAAUCAUGAAAAGGAUUUAGUAUAAUUGUAUUUAUAUAUAAAUCAAGUGCACUGUAGACUUGAUAGGAAUCUGUAAAAAUCAUACAUUGUUAAGGAGACAUUAUCAUAUCAAAUGAAUAUUUUCUUCUUCUCAAGAAUUACCGGAAUUACGAGUUAGUCUUUAUGCCUUAUAUCUGUCCAAUUUUGGCUUAAAUAGUCUUUGUUUAGAUAGAUCACUUCACUGUUUAACAUGAAACAGCUGGGCUAUUCUUACGCAAGAAUUAUUCUCACGACUUACAGUAAAUCCUACAAAAUACUUGAAUAUAUGUCUAUACAUUAUUCAUAAAUCGCCAAGAUAAAAGCAGGAUUAAGAUGUACAUCAGACGAGAUUGUCUGACCACAAUUUAACUUACAAAUCCUUAAAAUUCCACUCUCUUUCAUCACAUGACCGCUCAAAUUGGAUAAAUGACGGUGUUGCUACAUAGACUAUUAAACAAUUUUGGAAUUUCGGACACAUAACAGGUGAGGAACAAUCAAAUGCAAACGAACAAUAUACAUCAAUAGAAUGGUGAUAAAAUGGUCAAUAGAGGGGGAUUACAGAAUUAUGGACAUAUAUAACAGCUUGCCUGGUAGCCUCUUCCAGCAUAACAUCACAUUAUGGCUUUCAAAAAUGUCGACCAGAAUAUUCAUGUUGCGUUCAUAACAUUAAUUCAAGGAAAGACAACAUUUUAUUUUUAUUUUAGCUCAAUUGAGAAUAAAACUUUAAAUGUAUUUAAAGCAUUGUAGAGUUCGCUUUCUGGAAUUUGUAAGUACUGACGUCAUAUCAGAAAAAGCGGUCGAGGCCCCCAUAGGGAUCGUUCCGAAAGUUACUUUAGUUGAGAGACAGACCCUAAAAACUAGGUGACCACUUCACUGUCGUCUUACUUCAUAUACAUUGUUUUCAUAGAGUCUGGUAACAAUUCUGAUUUAUAAUGCCUGAAAAAUUUCAACUUAGUUCUUAUAAUUGGAAUUUUACAGUUGUAUGAUAUUGUACAAAAUUACCGAUAACACACUUCGUAUAUAUGUAUACAUAUAAAAUAGUUGUUUUUAAAUACUAAUCAGGAGACAAAAAAUGGUCAGAUACGUUUUUAUUUGAAAAUAAAAUCAACCUAAUAUUCGGACAGGUAAACGGCGAAUUGUAUAUCAUUUUAAAUCAGCUUAUCUUUACUUAAGCCAAUGGUGAUGCAUACAUUCUCUAUGCUUUUCACAAAACAUAUAUUUAUGUAGACAGCAACGAGGAAACAAGUGACAAACAUUAGGUACAACACCUUAAAAUGAACGAUUCGAAAACCAUUUCAUCAAGGGAGCGUAAAUUGUUCCUUCCAUAAUCCCCCAUUCGUUCUAUCCAUUUAUUGCGAACAAAAUAAUGUCAAAUUUUGAUCCCCGAUGUCAUUUAUCAAUAGUCCAGUGACAUCUUAAUCGAUUUCUGUGAAAAUGUUACAAAUAUAAGAGUGAUUUAGACCCUUCCGAUUUGUUCCUUAAAAUUGAAAUUAUCAGGAGAUAUCUGAAAAGUAUCCACGUAAUUCCAUUUAAGCCUUUGAAAACCCAUUACGGAGUUUCACAAUUCUGCAAUAUCCAUUCAUCACAAUAAAAUAACUGCGCAUAGAUUGGGACAACACGAGCAUGACGGAAUCCAUGGCCAACUUAUUGCUUUUAAAAUUACGAAAUGUAUCGCAGGUAUGCAAUAAACAGUGAGUUUAAAUCCCCGAAAAGGUGUAUCAAAUUAGGGGUAAACUAUCAUUAUUAUCCUGUUAUGAAACUUUCAUAUUAGAAACAUGUGUAAAAUUAGAAUUUUAUAAACAACUUGAAUCUAUUGUGCAGAUUAGGAGAUAAAAGAGGAAAAAAACAACCUUCAAUAGUUUACAUGGAUACAUGUAUUAUGAAUACAGCACUGAUAUACACUUUAUAUAUAUAUAUAUAUUUAUCAAUAUAUCAAUAUAUAUAUUAUUGUUAUUUUUAUUGUCUAAAUAUAUAAAGGUAAUCUGUAAAUUACAUCAUCGGAAUUACACCAUGUUUAAUGAUUAUUAUUCAAAUCAUAUCAAUAUCAAAAUGCUUAGUUUCCAUUGGCUAUAUUAGUGUUCAUAUACCAUGUUAAUACGUUUACAUUCAAACUUUGAAAUGAAUGGCCUUUUUUUU